rnacentral:rRNA from 2 species
CACAUUCCGAACCCGGAAGCUAAGACUCUCAGCGCCGAUGGUACUGCAGGGGGGACCCUGUGGGAGAGUAGGACACCGCCGGAC